rnacentral:rRNA from 1 species
UACAGAGGUGGCAAGCGUUGUUCGGAAUUACUGGGCGUAAAGGGCGCGUAGGUGGCCUUCUUAGUCAGACGUGAAAUCCCCAGGCUUAACCUGGGAACUGCGUCUGAUACUGGAAGGCUUGAGUUCGGGAGAGGAAUGUGGAAUUCCAGGUGUAGCGGUGAAAUGCGUAGAUAUCUGGAGGAACACCGGUGGCGAAGGCGGCAUUCUGGACUGCAACUGACACUGAGGAACGAAAGCCAGGGGAGCAAACGGG